rnacentral:rRNA from 1 species
UACGAAGGGGGCUAGCGUUGCUCGGAAUUACUGGGCGUAAAGCGCACGUAGGCGGCUUGUUAAGUCAGGGGUGAAAUCCUGGAGCUCAACUCCAGAACUGCCUUUGAUACUGGCGAGCUUGAGUUCGGGAGAGGUGAGUGGAACUGCGAGUGUAGAGGUGAAAUUCGUAGAUAUUCGCAAGAACACCAGUGGCGAAGGCGGCUCACCUGGCCCGAUACUGACGCUGAGGUGCGAAAGCGUGGGGAG